GUUCCGGAUUUACUGGGCGUAAAGCGCGCGCAGGCGGCAUGGCAAGUAAGGUGUGAAAUCUCCUGGCUCAACCGGGAGGGUGCACUUUAGACUGCCAAGCUUGAGGUCGGUAGAGGGGGGUAGAAUUGCUGGUGUAGCGGUGAAAUGCGUAGAGAUCAGCAGGAAUACCCGUGGCGAAGGCGGCCCCCUGGGCCGUACCUGACGCUGAGGCGCGAAGGCUAGGGGAGCGAACGGG
rnacentral:rRNA from 1 species